GUCGCUUGCCGAAUGCAAAAUUUUCGUUUUCUGCUUUGUGCGGUGCUUCUUUCGGUGUCUGAAUAUCCGUUAUGGAAAAUUCAUCAUUAAAGUUUUAAUAUUUUAACAAUGUUAUAAUAAUAGUUACUUAUAGUUACUAGACUUAUAGUUUAUUCAAAUUAUUAUGCUUGCAUUUUAAUAUAGAAUAAAUGUCAUUAAUUUGAUAAAGUGUUGAUAAAUUAAAAUUAAUACAGUGCGUUAAUUUUUCGAAAUUAUAUAAUGGCAUAAUUAUCAUUGAUUUUUGUGUUUAUUAUAUGCAUUUGUAUGAUUAACAAUGCGAAAUAUUCAGGAUACUUUCGGGACCCGUCUUGAAACACGGACCAAAGGAGUCUAACAUAUGUGCAAGUUAUUGGGAGAUAAAACUAAUAGCGUAAUUAACUUGACUAAUAAUGGUAUUAGUUUUUUAACUAUUUAUAGAUAAUUUACACAAUCCUGGGGCGUUCUAUAUAGUUAUGUAUAAUAAUAUUUAUAGUAUUUAUGCCUCUAACUGGAACGUACCUUGAGCAUAUAUGCUGUGACCCGAAAGAUGGUGAACUAUACUUGAUCAGGUUGAAGUCAGGGGAAACCCUGAUGGAACACCGAAACAGUUCUGACGUGCAAAUCGAUUGUCAGAAUUGAGUAUAGGGGCGAAAGACCAAUCGAACCAUCUAGUAGCUGGUUCCUUUCGAAGUUUCCCUCAGGAUAGCUGGUGCAUUUUAAUGUUAUAUAAAAUAAUCUUAUCUGGUAAAGCGAAUGAUUAGAGGCCUUAAGGUCGAAACGAUCUUAACCUAUUCUCAAACUUUAAAUGGGUAAGAACCUUAACUUUCUCGAUAUGAAGUUUAAGGUUAUGAUAUAAUGUGCCCAGUGGGCCACUUUUGGUAAGCAGAACUGGCGCUGUGGGAUGAACCAAACGUAAUGUUACGGUGCCCAAAUUAACAACUCGUGCAAAAACCAUGAAAGGCGUUGGUUGCUUAAAACAGCAGGACGGUGAUCAUGGAAGUCGAAAUCCGCUAAGGAGUGUGUGACAACUCACCUGCCGAAGCAACUAGCCCUUAAAAUGGAUGGCGCUUAAGUUGUAUACCUAUAAAUUACCGCUAAAGUAGAUGAUUUAUAUUACUCGUGAUAUAAAUUUUGAAACUUUAGUGAGUAGGAAGGUACAAUGGUAUUUAUUUAUUUAUUAAAUUAACAAAUUAUCUGUUAAUAAUGGUACUUAGUUACUAAAGGCGGAAAAAGAGAAUUUAAAAGUUAGCUAAAUUUAAGUGAUUAUAAAUAUUGCAUGCAAUUAGUUUAAGAGACAGUUCAGGGGAUAGGGUUUGGCAGAGGGAGCUAUAAUUAUGGCAUAAAACCCUAAAAGGUUCAUGAUCAGCAUAAUUAGACCUACAUAUGGGUAGACGGAUAGGCCUAAAAGUACGGGUAGGUCUAGAUGGAACGGCCAAGUCAAUCUGACCCAAGAGAGUUUGGGAGUCAACAGACCCGAGAAGGAGCUUGUGCACGAACAUUACGCCAUUGCAUAUUCUGCGAUGGUGCAACGACGGCAGGUCAAUAAGAUUUAGCCUAGACCGGUAGGGUGGCAAGAUUCUACCCGAGUCCCAGUUAAAGUUCCGAAGGGAAAAAAUUAAAAAUUGCUUUUGCACGGAUUCAAUAACAGCCUGCUGCUCUUUAUACUGCGGGCUCCACACACAAGAACAAUACUCCAAUAUAGGACGUACUAACGAGAUGUACAGUUGUUUCGUAACGUACGGGUCGUCAAACUCCUUGGACCAACGCUUGAUGAACGCUAAAACACCCCUAGCUUUAUUUACAGUUGCAGCUAUAUGAGUGUUAAAACACAUCUUAUGAUCAAAAAGGACGAGGUCAUUUGAACUCGAAAUUCGCUCAAGGACAUGAUUUCCUAGAACAUAUGAGACAAAAUGAGGAGCACGACGGUAAAAUGUCAUAAGUUUGCAUUUGGAAAGGUUCAGAAAAAGAAGAUUAGUUGAACACCACAAUAGUAGGUCACUUAGAUCAAGUAGAAGGCGUGUGUGCAAAUACCAAUCAGAGUAAGAAAGACAGAUUUGAACAUCAUCAGCAUACAUUAGUGUAGUAGAGAAUGUUAUAACUUUGAGGAAGAUCAUUCACAAAAUAAAAUAAACAGAAGCGGGCCCAGAUGACUUCCCUGUGCCACACCUGAAGUAACAUUAUUUGACAACACGUAAGAAAACAAAACACGUUGAGUACGGUUAGAGAGAUAGGACAAAAUCCAAUCUAGAAGAUUCGUUAGGAACCCUAAUAAAGAGAGCUUGUGAAUAAGCAGAGCAAGGUUCACAGAAUCGAAUUUCUUGCUGAAGUCCGUAAAAACUACAUCCGUCUGCAAACCAAUUUGAAAACCACGGUGGAUUAGGUUAGAAAACUCAAGAAGGUUAGUCGAUGUUGAACGAUGUCUGAAAAAACCGUGUUGCGACGGAGAUAUCAAGCUGCAACAAAGAUGUUGCAGUUGCCGGAAAAGGAAAAGCGUUUGACUUGCACUUAGAGUUAACGAACGAAUAUAAUUUUUUAGGAUCACUACGAAAGUUACUACUACAUUGUGAAAGGUAAUGAUUAUAACACUGACUAUUAACGGCAAGGAACAGAGAGCGAGCGGAGGAGUAUAGAGCUAAGGCCGACGUGGAGCCCGACUUCUGGUACUUUUUAUAGAGCCGGGAUUUAUUAUUUGUUAAGUAUGACAAAUACUUGGAGAACCAGGGAGGCUUGGACGAUACAGGUACAGUGAUAUCUGGAACAAAAGUAUUAAGGGCGGAGUAAAUAGAACUAUAAAACGAGUUAACAGUUGCAGAUAGAAGUAGAAGUGUUUGGCGUAAGCCUUCAUGGAGCUGCCAUUGGCACAGAUCUUGGUGGUAGUAGCAAAUAAUCGAAUGAGACCUUGGAGGACUGAAGUGGAGAAGGGUUUCGUGUGAACAGUGGUUGAUCACGAGUUAGUCGGUCCUAAGUUCAAGGCGAAAGCCGAAAAUUUUCAAGUAAAAAAUCAGUGAGUAAUAUUGUCAAAUCUUCUAUGAUUUUUAAAUACUUGAAUAAUUUUGAACGAAAGGGAAUACGGUUCCAAUUCCGUAACCUGUUGAGUAUCCGUUUGUUAUUAAAUAUGGGCCUCGUGUUCAUCCUGGCAACAGGAACGACCAUAAGGAAGCCAUCGAGAGAUAUCGGAAGAGUUUUCUUUUUUCUUUUAUAGCCGUACUACCAUGGAAGUCUUUCGCAGAGAGAUAUGGUAGAUGGGCUAGAAGAGCAUACAUACAUGUAUGACAUGUACAUGACAUUUACAUGAUAUUUUCUCCUCGGACCUGAAAAUUUA
rfam:Drosophila persimilis strain MSH-3 cont1.015471, whole genome shotgun sequence.